GAUGAACGCUGGCGGCGUGCCUAAUACAUGCAAGUCGAGCGAACAGACGAGGAGCUUGCUCCUGUGACGAUAGCGGCGGACGGGUGAGUAACACGUGGAUAACCUACCUAUAAGACUGGGAUAACUUCGGGAAACCGGAGCUAAUACCGGAUAAUAUAUUGAACCGCAUGGUUCAAUAGUGAAAGACGGUUUUGCUGUCACUUAUAGAUGGAUCCGCGCCGCAUUAGCUAGUUGGUAAGGUAACGGCUUACCAAGGCGACGAUGCGUAGCCGACCUGAGAGGGUGAUCGGCCACACUGGAACUGAGACACGGUCCAGACUCCUACGGGAGGCAGCAGUAGGGAAUCUUCCGCAAUGGGCGAAAGCCUGACGGAGCAACGCCGCGUGAGUGAUGAAGGUCUUCGGAUCGUAAAACUCUGUUAUUAGGGAAGAACAAAUGUGUAAGUAACUAUGCACGUCUUGACGGUACCUAAUCAGAAAGCCACGGCUAACUACGUG
rnacentral:rRNA from 1 species